GGGGAUGCUUUGGUUUCGACAGGAAUAGUAGAGCAUAAAUGGCAAGCCGAGUUGUUUGCGUAACAAACUAAGUUAAAUAUAACUGGAAACAAAAUUAAAACAGCAUUUGCUAAUUUAUUUGGACGUAACCAAGAAUUAGCUUUAGCCUAAUUUAGGUAGAUGCACUGUCUCUUUAUAAUUUCCUACGUUAUAUUGAGAUGGUUGAUUUAAGUAGGAUAUAGCUAUUUGAUGUCUUUAGAAUAGUGGAAUUAAAAGACUAGAAUUAUUAUUUGGUUGGUAAUUACUAGGUAAUAAUUUGAAAACAAUUAAUUACCUAUGCUUGUAGAAGUUUAUGUAGCUCUAUUUUUGGACAGGAGUUCGAAUCUCCUCAUCUCCACCA
rnacentral:tmRNA from 1 species